rnacentral:rRNA from 1 species
UACGUAGGGUGCAAGCGUUAAUCGGAAUUACUGGGCGUAAAGCGUGCGCAGGCGGUUAUGUAAGACAGAUGUGAAAUGCCCGGGCUUAACCUGGGAACUGCAUUUGUGACUGCAUGGCUAGAGUUGGCAGAGGGGGGUGAGAAUUCCACGUGUGAGCAGUGAAAUGACGUAGAUAUGUGGAGGAACACCGAUGGCGAAGGCAGCCCCC